AUGGGCACCAGGCUCUUCUUCUAUGUGGCCCUUUGUCUGCUGUGGGCAGGACACAGGGAUGCUGGAAUCACCCAGAGCCCAAGAUACAAGAUCACAGAGACAGGAAGGCAGGUGACCUUGAUGUGUCACCAGACUUGGAGCCACAGCUAUAUGUUCUGGUAUCGACAAGACCUGGGACAUGGGCUGAGGCUGAUCUAUUACUCAGCAGCUGCUGAUAUUACAGAUAAAGGAGAAGUCCCCGAUGGCUACGUUGUCUCCAGAUCCAAGACAGAGAAUUUCCCCCUCACUCUGGAGUCAGCUACCCGCUCCCAGACAUCUGUGUAUUUCUGCGCCAGCAGUGAGUC